GGUUAAGUUAGAAAGGGCGCACGGUGGAUGCCUUGACACUAGGAGUCGAUGAAGGACGGGACUAACGCCGAUAUGCUUCGGGGAGCUGUAAGUAAGCUUUGAUCCGAAGAUUUCCGAAUGGGGAAACCCACCAUACGUAAUGGUAUGGUAUCCUUAUCUGAAUACAUAGGGUAAGGAAGACAGACCCAGGGAACUGAAACAUCUAAGUACCUGGAGGAAGAGAAAGCAAAUGCGAUUUCCUGAGUAGCGGCGAGCGAAACGGAACAUAGCCCAAACCAAGAGGCUUGCCUCUUGGGGUUGUAGGACAUUCUAUACGGAGUUACAAAGGAACGAGGUAGACGAAGCGACCUGGAAAGGUCCGUCGUAGAGGGUAACAACCCCGUAGUCGAAACUUCGUUCUCUCUUGAAUGUAUCCUGAGUACGGCGGAACACGUGAAAUUCCGUCGGAAUCUGGGAGGACCAUCUCCCAAGGCUAAAUACUCCCUAGUGAUCGAUAGUGAACCAGUACCGUGAGAGAAAGGUGAAAAGCACCCCGGAAGGGGAGUGAAAGAGAUCCUGAAACCGUGUGCCUACAAAUAGUCAGAGCCCGUUAACGGGUGAUGGCGUGCCUUUUGUAGAAUGAACCGGCGAGUUACGAUCCCGUGCGAGGUUAAGCUGAAGAGGCGGAGCCGCAGCGAAAGCGAGUCUGAAUAGGGCGUUUAGUACGUGGUCGUAGACCCGAAACCAGGUGAUCUACCCAUGUCCAGGGUGAAGUUCAGGUAACACUGAAUGGAGGCCCGAACCCACGCACGUUGAAAAGUGCGGGGAUGAGGUGUGGGUAGCGGAGAAAUUCCAAUCGAACCUGGAGAUAGCUGGUUCUCCCCGAAAUAGCUUUAGGGCUAGCCUUAAGUGUAAGAGUCUUGGAGGUAGAGCACUGAUUGGACUAGGGGUCCUCAUCGGAUUACCGAAUUCAGUCAAACUCCGAAUGCCAAUGACUUAUCCUUAGGAGUCAGACUGCGAGUGAUAAGAUCCGUAGUCAAAAGGGAAACAGCCCAGACCGCCAGCUAAGGUCCCAAAGUGUGUAUUAAGUGGAAAAGGAUGUGGAGUUGCUUAGACAACUAGGAUGUUGGCUUAGAAGCAGCCACCAUUUAAAGAGUGCGUAAUAGCUCACUAGUCGAGUGACUCUGCGCCGAAAAUGUACCGGGGCUAAAUACACCACCGAAGCUGCGGAUUGAUACCAAUGGUAUCAGUGGUAGGGGAGCGUUCUAAGGACAGUGAAGUCAGACCGGAAGGACUGGUGGAGUGCUUAGAAGUGAGAAUGCCGGUAUGAGUAGCGAAAGACGGGUGAGAAUCCCGUCCACCGAAUGCCUAAGGUUUCCUGAGGAAGGCUCGUCCGCUCAGGGUUAGUCAGGACCUAAGCCGAGGCCGACAGGCGUAGGCGAUGGACAACAGGUUGAUAUUCCUGUACCACCUCUUUAUCGUUUGAGCAAUGGAGGGACGCAGAAGGAUAGAAGAAGCGUGCGAUUGGUUGUGCACGUCCAAGCAGUUAGGCUGAUAAGUAGGCAAAUCCGCUUAUCGUGAAGGCUGAGCUGUGAUGGGGAAGCUCCUUAUGGAGCGAAGUCUUUGAUUCCCCGCUGCCAAGAAAAGCUUCUAGCGAGAUAAAAGGUGCCUGUACCGCAAACCGACACAGGUAGGCGAGGAGAGAAUCCUAAGGUGUGCGAGAGAACUCUGGUUAAGGAACUCGGCAAAAUGACCCCGUAACUUCGGGAGAAGGGGUGCUUUCUUAACGGAAAGCCGCAGUGAAUAGGCCCAAGCGACUGUUUAGCAAAAACACAGCUCUCUGCGAAGCCGUAAGGCGAAGUAUAGGGGGUGACACCUGCCCGGUGCUGGAAGGUUAAGGAGAGGGGUUAGCGUAAGCGAAGCUCUGAACUGAAGCCCCAGUAAACGGCGGCCGUAACUAUAACGGUCCUAAGGUAGCGAAAUUCCUUGUCGGGUAAGUUCCGACCCGCACGAAAGGUGUAACGAUUUGGGCACUGUCUCAACCAGAGACUCGGUGAAAUUAUAGUACCUGUGAAGAUGCAGGUUACCCGCGACAGGACGGAAAGACCCCGUGGAGCUUUACUGUAGCCUGAUAUUGAAUUUUGGUACAGUUUGUACAGGAUAGGCGGGAGCCUUUGAAACCGGAGCGCUAGCUUCGGUGGAGGCGCUGGUGGGAUACCGCCCUGACUGUAUUGAAAUUCUAACCUACGGGUCUUAUCGACCCGGGAGACAGUGUCAGGUGGGCAGUUUGACUGGGGCGGUCGCCUCCUAAAGUGUAACGGAGGCGCCCAAAGGUUCCCUCAGAAUGGUUGGAAAUCAUUCGUAGAGUGCAAAGGCAUAAGGGAGCUUGACUGCGAGACCUACAAGUCGAGCAGGGACGAAAGUCGGGCUUAGUGAUCCGGUGGUUCCGCAUGGAAGGGCCAUCGCUCAACGGAUAAAAGCUACCCCGGGGAUAACAGGCUUAUCUCCCCCAAGAGUCCACAUCGACGGGGAGGUUUGGCACCUCGAUGUCGGCUCAUCGCAUCCUGGGGCUGUAGUCGGUCCCAAGGGUUGGGCUGUUCGCCCAUUAAAGCGGUACGCGAGCUGGGUUCAGAACGUCGUGAGACAGUUCGGUCCCUAUCCGUCGUGGGCGUAGGAAAUUUGAGAGGAGCUGUCCUUAGUACGAGAGGACCGGGAUGGACGCACCGCUGGUGUACCAGUUGUUCUGCCAAGGGCAUAGCUGGGUAGCUAUGUGCGGAAGGGAUAAGUGCUGAAAGCAUCUAAGCAUGAAGCCCCCCUCAAGAUGAGAUUUCCCAUAGCGUAAGCUAGUAAGAUCCCUGAAAGAUGAUCAGGUUGAUAGGUUCGAGGUGGAAGCAUGGUGACAUGUGGAGCUGACGAAUACUAAUAGAUCGAGGACUUAACCAU
rnacentral:rRNA from 1 species